CCGAGUGAGGGUCUCACGGCCCGACCUCCAACCCCGUGUCUAACGACCUCUGUUGCUUUGGCGGGCCCGCCCCUGGCCGCCGGGGUUCGCCCUGGCCCGCGCCCGCCAGAGACCCCCCAAAAUCUGCUGAACCGUGUCGUUCUCAGUCAAAAACAAAUGAACA
rnacentral:misc_RNA from 2 species